UAUUGAAUAGUAUAGAAUAUUUUUUGCGGGAAAAUAUAAAUUAUGUAAUAAUUCACUUUUACCUUUACUA
rnacentral:tRNA from 1 species